GAGACCACAAAAUGGCUGCCGGCGGCUUCGUCACGUGACCCCUUUGUGCCUUUCGGGCCCCCGAACUCCGCGGGACCCUGGUCGGGCAGAUCCUCACAGCGGAAGACCGGCAGCGGCUUCGAGGCGUCCAGCGCCCGCGCCCGAAACGACAGUUUACUCAUCUCAGGCGCAGCAGAUACCUCUCCGCUCUGGGGAAACGGCCCCGGCCAGCGGGAUCAUGGAGAACCGGAGUUUCGGUCUCCACUCGCCUGCCGCUGCCGGGGACUUGGGGGCGGAGCGCAAAGCCCGCCGUCCGGGCCCUGACACCAGCCGGGAGGGUGGGAGGCUGUGCCGCUCCGCGCCUCGCUCACUCGCUCUCUUCAAUACGCCAUGGCCAACAUGGCGGACAUUAAAACUCCACUGUGCGCUCUUCAGCCAACCCCAGCCAUUCCCCACACUGCAUCGCGCAGCGACGCGGGCACGCGCGGGGGGAGCGCGGGCUCGAGCGGGCGCCGGCGCGGCGCGGCAUGGAGCGCGCGUCCCGCCAACCCCCGGCCCGCCGGCCGCCGGCCUCGCCCGCCCGCUCCGCCCGGCCGCCUCGCUUCCCGCCCUGCGCGGUGCUCAAGCGAAGGAGCGACGAGCUCGGCGCCCGCGCGGGCCCUGGGAAGGCCGGCGCGUAGAGCGGCCGGGA
rnacentral:lncRNA from 1 species